rnacentral:tRNA from 1 species
GACAGUUUGUCCGAGUGGUUAAGGAGGUUGACUCGAAAUCAACUGGGCUCUGCCCGCACA